GAGCACUGUUUCGGCUAGGGGGCCAUCCCGGCUUACCAACCCGAUGCAAACUGCGAAUACCGGAGAAUGUUAUCACGGGAGACACACGGCGGGUGCUAACGUCCGUCGUGAAGAGGGAAACAACCCAGACCGCCAGCUAAGGUCCCAAAGUCAUGGUUAAGUGGGAAACGAUGUGGGAAGGCCCAGACAGCCAGGAUGUUGGCUUAGAAGCAGCCAUCAUUUAAAGAAAGCGUAAUAGCUCACUGGUCGAGUCGGCCUGCGCGGAAGAUGUAACGGGGCUAAACCAUGCACCGAAGCUGCGGCAGCGACACUGUGUGUUGUUGGGUAGGGGAGCGUUCUGUAAGCCUGUGAAGGUGUGUCGUGAGGCAUGCUGGAGGUAUCAGAAGUGCGAAUGCUGACAUAAGUAACGAUAAAGCGGGUGAAAAGCCCGCUCGCCGGAAGACCAAGGGUUCCUGUCCAACGUUAAUCGGGGCAGGGUGAGUCGACCCCUAAGGCGAGGCCGAAAGGCGUAGUCGAUGGGAAACGGGUUAAUAUUCCCGUACUUGGUGUUACUGCGAAGGGGGGACGGAGAAGGCUAUGUUGGCCGGG
rnacentral:rRNA from 1 species